UACGUAGGGUGCGAGCGUUGUCCGGAAUUAUUGGGCGUAAAGAGCUCGUAGGCGGUGUGUCACGUCGAUCGUGAAAACUUACAGCUUAACUGUGAGCGUGCGGUCGAUACGGGCAUCACUGGAGUUCGGCAGGGGAGACUGGAAUUCCUGGUGUAGCGGUGAAAUGCGCAGAUAUCAGGAGGAACACCGGUGGCGAAGGCGGUUCUCUGGGCAUGUCCUGACGCUGAGGAGCGAAAGUGUGGGGAGCGAACAGG
rnacentral:rRNA from 1 species